UCAGGUGGUGAUAGCGAAAGGGUUCCACCUCUUCCCAUUCCGAACAGAGAAGUUAAACCUUUCCACGCCGAUGAUACUACGAAAGUGGGAAAGUAGGUAACCGCCCCCU
rnacentral:rRNA from 2 species